CGGUUUUAGAGUGUUGACCCGGUAGCGAAUAUAGGGGGGGUCAUUCGGGUCACAAGCAUGUCGUGGGGGGGGUGCAUUUUAAGAUGGGCUAGGGAUGACGUUAUUUAUAUAGCAACGAGAGGAAACAGAAUCCCCCUCAACACUCAACAGAGAUGUGGCUUCAAGAAAGUAGUGAAGGAGUCAAAGACCAAGAAGGGGGUCAUAGAGGAGACGGGGCCCUCACACACAGAGCCCAGUGAAGGGCUCAUCCACAAGAGGGGUGCAUCUCCCCCCUUGGAGCCCUCAGUGGCAUACACGCACUCCAGGAGCUGACUGGUUGGAGCUGACUGGUUGGAGACCCUACGGCCGCAGAAACAGGGCAAAUGGGGAUCAAUAGCUGCUAAUGCUGUGGUUUUUUGCUGUUGGGGAGUGCCAGCGCUCUAUGAUCAAAUACUUCACAUCCAACCCUGCCUCCAAAACCCUGUGUUUCCCCAUGCUCCUGUUCACGUUCAGCCACUACUCCUUCCUCCACAUGGCGGCCAACAUGUACGUCCUCUGGAGCUUCUCCUCCAGCAUCGUCUCCAUGCUAGGCAGGGAGCAGUUCAUGGCCGUUUACAUGUCUGCAAGUACCAGUGCACGUGUGAGAGAUUGUAAUAGACAGAUUACUAGUCCUGAAGUACAGACUUAUUUACAGAUAAAUAAUCAAUCAUCUCCUCAUUGCCAGGUGUUAUCUCUACGAUGUUCAGCUAUGUAUGCAAGACAGCCAGCGGGCGCUUAGGUCCCUCUCUUGGUGCGGUAAGCACCAACAUUUUAGACUUCCUGCGGAAUUCCCCUUUACUUCCUGUCUCUGACAGCACUUUCUGUCCUCCAGUCAGGAGCCAUCAUGACAGUCUUGACUGCCGUCUGUACCAAAAUGCCAGAGGCUAAGCUGGCAAUCAUCUUCCUCCCCAUUUAUGCUUUCUCUGCAGGCAAUGCAUUGAAAGCCAUAGUAGUCAUGGACACAGCCGGCCUAGUUUUAGGAUGGCGAUACUUCGACCACGCGGCCCAUCUAGGCGGAGCUCUUUUUGGCGUCUGGUACAUCAUGUAUGGCCACGAGCUGAUAUGGAAGAACCGUGAGCCACUAGUGAAGGUGUGGCACGACCUUAGGACAAAGGGUCCUAGUGGGGGAGGUAACGGUGGCAACGGCCCCCAGUAGAGCGCACUGGACUGGGUGAAGGCAUGUGGAUGGACUGGCCUUGGCUGAUGUGUAUAUUACCAGAUUACAGAAGUGUCAAUAGCGUCAACAGCCAUGCUGGCCACACAAACCGAAGCCUGACUCUCCAUUUAUCCCCCACACACAAGCUCUAUGUUUGUCUCUCACUCUCUCAUAAAAAUACAAUUUGCAUUCAGUGCUCUCUCGCUUUUUCUCUCAAAGACACACACUACAUAAUAAUGCAGGGAUUUUGUGUGUUUUUGAGAGAAGAGGGGACACUGUUGAGUUACACUAUGGCCUGUAUUCACAAAGUGUUGAUCUAGGAGUAGUUUAGCCUUUUAGAUCAUAAUGAUUAUAGGUGAAGAUGGUCACAGGAGCCUACAGGUCACCAUUAUCUCCGCAAAUGCUGAGGUGGAGUAUCCUAACACCCUAAGAUACAAAAACCAUGCGAUCACAAAACCCUUCCCACUGUCAGUACAGGGGAUGGUUAGAGAGCUACAUUACAUAUUCAGACCCCUUGACUUUUUUCACAUUUUCUUACGUUGCAUCAAUCUACACACAAUACGGCAUAAUGACAAAGCAAAAAGUUUUUUUUUAUUUAUUACAUUCAUGCAAAUAUAUAUACGUUUUAAAAAAUAUCACAUUUACAUAAGUAUUCAGGCCCUUUACUCAGUACUUUGUUGAAGCAGCUUUGGCAGUGAUUAUAGCCUCGAUUCUACUUGGGUAUAAUGUUAGAAGCUUAGCACACCUGUAUUUGGGGAGUUGUAUUUCCUGUUCUCAAAGAGUUCUAUCUUGGUUUCAUCAGACCAGAGGAUCUUGUUUCUCAUGUUCUGAGUAAUUUAGGUUUCUUUUGGCAAACUCCAAGCAGGCUACUGUGUGCCUUUUACUGAGGAGUGGCUUCCAUCUGACCACUCUACCAUAAAGGCCUGAUUGGUGGAAUGCUCUAGAGAUGGAAUGAUGGAGGACACUGUUAUUGGGGACCUUCAAUGCCGCAGAAUUGUUCUGGUACCCUUCCCUAGAUCUCAGACUCAACACAAUCCUAUCUCGGCGCUCUACGGACAAUUCCUUUGAACUCAUGGCUUGGUUUUUCCUUUGACAUGCACUCAACUGUGGGACUUUUUUUUUAUAGACAGGUGUUCCAUUCCCAAUCAAUUGAAUUUACCACAGGUGGCCUCCAAUCAAGUUGUAGAAACAUCUCAAGGAUGAUCAAUGGAAACCGGAUGCACCCGCGUUAAAAUUGAGUUUCAUAGCAAAGGGUCUGAAUACUUAUGUAAAUAUGGCAUUUUUUUAUAUAUAUUUUCUUGUAAUCCAUUUGCAAAAAUGUCUUGGCCUGUUUUUUUCUUUAUGGGGUAUUGUGUGUGGCUUGAUUGGGGGGGGAAUUAAUUAAUCCAUUUUAGGAUAAGGCUGUAACAAAAUGUGGGAAAGGGUCUGAAUACUUUACGAAUGCACUGUACAGCGUCAAAACCAAUGAUGUUACAUCUACAUUUUUUUAUAUGAUACAUAUGUCUACAGUCAAGACUCAUUAUUCUCUAACCCCUGCACACCACAAAUGUUUUUAUUUUUGUGUGUGAAAUGAUAGUUUUUUUUUCACCUCUUGUUUAUCAUUUCAUCCAGCUAUGAAAAUGGAAAGAUAAUGGACUUAAAUACACUGAGUAUACAAACCAUUAACCUCCCCCACCCUUUGCCCUCCAGAACAGUCUCAAAACAUUGCGCCUGGCACCUACUACCAUACCCCUUUUAAAGGCACUUAAAUCGUUUGCUUGCCCAUUCACACUCUGAAUGGCUCACAUACACAAUCCAUGUGUCAAUUGUCUCAAGGCUUAACAAUUAUUAUUUAACCUCCUCCCCUUCAUCUACACUGAUUUGAAGUGAAUUUAACAAGUGACAUGAAGGGAUCAUGGCUUUCACCUGGUCAGUCUGUCAUGGAAAGAGCAGUUAAUGUUUUGUAGAUUCAGUGUAUGCACAGGAAUAUUUGUUUUAGAUUAAUAAUUUUAGUUUGUUAUUGGAAUCAAAUAAAAGGUUUAUUUAAAAAAGGAGUCUUGUGUUCCAGGCUAUGGCUCUGUGAUCUGUCCAUUUGUACUGUAUUUACCAUGGUAGGAUUGUAUUUCUAUUUACUAUUUCCCUAAAAGUGCUGCAUGUCUAUCAAACUGAGAAAGGUGAUGGACUUUGCUCCCUCUUCAGUCCUUCACCCACCAGUAAACCAUUAACUAAGCCAUAAAGCUUUUCAGUAGCAGGAAUUACAGAUAGUUGGGCAGGCUUUGUACUGCUGAAUCACUGUUGUCAUCUGGUUACAGGAAGGAAGUCACUCAUGCCUUUAUCAGAAGUCAUGUGCCUUUUUGGUUUUUAAACAGGAUGUUGUUUCAUGAUGUCAUAUUAAUCUGAAAUUGGCAUAAACAGGCAUUUGAAUUUAGCUUUUUAAGCAUUUUUGGCUUAAAUGGUCAUCUGGGAUUCACUGUAGUUUUGGUGCUGGUGGGUUAGGAUAUUGAUGUAACAAAAGAAAAUUACCAAAGUCCACAAACAGUCAUUGGGGAAAAAGCCAGAGACACUGUCUGUUAAUGUUUGUAGAUGAGGAGAGGAAGUCUUCUCUCAUUUCCUCUUCCUCUAGACUUACUUAUCCACAUCGGUGAUACAUUUUUUCAAGUAUGAGAAUGGCCAAUGUUUAUGCUGCCGUUAGUGUCAAAACAGUAUUUAGCAAAUUAUCACCGCUGUCUUUUGCUCAGAAGGAGAUUCUCCUUUAAACGUGCUCCCCAAAUAGCACCCUGUUCCCUUUAUAGGAGACUAUUUUAGACCAGGGCGCAUAGGACUCUGGUCGAAAGUAGUGCACUAUACGUGUAUGGGGAAUAGGUUGCCAUUUGGGAUGCACCCUUAGUCAUUUUGACCGUAACUCUGUAUCAUUGUGCCCUUAACUGCGAAUCACAGGGUUUGGUUCAAUUCCAUUUAAAUUCAUUCAAAAGUCAAGAAUUUAAAAUGUGCAUUUUUAUUUUGUGUGAAUUUCACUUGACAAAGUUUAAAUGGGAAUUGACCCUGGUGUAUAAUGCAAUUGUGUGUUUGAGAAAGUGAACAGUAGUUUCUCUGUGAGUUUUAGAUGUUUCUUCUCAGUGUGUUCGUGCGUAAGGUUCUUGAGGUUUGGACCAAAGUAGUGCAAGAUAUAGGGAAUGAGGUGCCAUUUGGGACGUAACCCAUUAAACCCACAGUGCAGCUCUGGGGGAGAGUAGUAGGCCACGUGCAGAGGUGAGCAUGUGUGCUCAUGGUGGGAGAUCGUUUUGAAGGGUCAUUGAUCCACCCGAUACCCAAAUCUCACCUCAGUGGGACCACAGCCUCUGUUCCAAAAAAAUACCCUUCACUUUCUCUUCCUCCAUCUUACCUAUUCCAUAACCAACCAGGGAAACAGACAACUGAUUUUAAACACCUGAAUAGAACAAGUGGAUAGAAAUACAAACUGGACUCGAACAAUAGAGGAUACAAAAUACCACUCAACAGCACAGUAGACACAGCAACAAAGACCGAAAGUUCAAGUCAUUCUCAUCACAGAAACAUCAGCCGUCAGGACGGACCACCAUGCUUUUAGCCUUCCAGAUCCUGGGUCUGUCUUUAGGGGUGAUUGGCUGGUGUCUGGAGAACAGCUGCACUAGUUCCCAUUCCUGGAGGGUACGCAGCCAUUCUGGGGCUGUCACAACCAACAACUGGCAGUUCGAGGGCCUGUGGAUGACCUGCGCAGCCACGUCCCUGGGCUCUGUGCAAUGCCAGAGGUACAAGACUGUACUGGGGCUACCAGGUGAGAGACAUGCAGGGCUCAGUGCAAUACUCACAUGCAGUAUUAAAGGGGCAAUCUGUAGUUUAAACAACAAAAUGGUAUUGGUAAACAGCUGAGGAAUGGUGUUAGAGAAAUGUAACCACUUUCAAAUUCAAAGACAGAGCUAUGGAUUUAGGGACGGACCAUCCAAACUAUAGUUUUAACCAUGUUUUGAGGCUAUAUAGUCUUUGUUUGCAAUUACAUUGUUUAAAAAAAUAAAAUAAACACAUUUUGGGUUUUGAUGGAGUACGACAGUUGAACUAAUAAGCUCAUGAGGCUUUUAUAAUUUGUAGUCUUAAAAAAAUCUAUGGGUUUAUGUUAUUAAUUUAAAAGUAAAUCAUUUGAUUACAGAUUGCCCCGCCAGGAUUUAUUUUUCUAUGAUCAAAUACAAAUCUUUGAAUGUUGUAAAAAUCUUCUUUGGUUGUCACAUAAACAUACUUCCUUCCCUGGUAGAUGCCUUCCAAAAUGUUGUUCCAAAAUGAGUAGUAUGUAUGCACGGACAGUAGUUUGUGGGCAAAAGCACUGUGUAAACAUUGCAAUGGUGGUUGUCGAUUAAAUUCCAGCCAAGAUUGACCCAGCAGUUAGAUAUCGGCUGCUGAUUAAAAUACUUUGUAGUUUUACCCUUGUCUAAAAUGACUGUGCUGCUUUGAUAAUUGUCCAUAUAACACAAAUUCAUUAAGAAACUGAGCAAAGAUCUAAAGAAGAAUUUAUAUAACAAAAGUAUUGUGUGGAUCAGACUGACAUAGAGUAUCUGUGAAAUCAAUUAUAGUAGGCCUGUAGUACAGUGUCCAUAUUAGGACAGCCAAAGUCUUAAGCAGGACUUUUUGAAGCUGUUCUCACAUUGACAACGUAGUACGGUAGUAUUUUUUACUUCCUUUCCUACAUGACUGUCACUUUCAACUGUCGACCACCACACUGAGGUAUGCAGGCCAUAUGGUCUUAGUUUCAGGCCAUGAAGGUAAUAGGGGUUGUAAAUCGCACAAGUAUAAUUGUAUCAUCGCUCGGUCAAUCAUUGACAGUCACACUGACCUUGGUUUCCUUUCAUUGUGUGUGUGUCAAAUCAAAUCAAAUUUUAUUGGUCACGUACACAUGGUUAGCAGAUUUUAAUGCGAGUGUAGCGAGAUGCUUGUACUUCUAGUUCCAACAGUGCAGUAAUAUCUAACAAAUAAUCUAACAAUUCCCAACAACUACCUAAUACACACAAAUCUAACAAGUAAUUUAACAAUUCCCCAACAACUACCUAAUACACACAAAUCUAAAGGGGUGAAUGAGAAUAUGUACAUAUAAAUAUAUGGAUGAGCGAUGGCCAUAGGCAAGGUGCAGUAGAUUAUAUAAAAUACAGUAUAUAUAUGUGAUAUGAGUAGUGUAAGAUAUGUAAACAUGACUAAAGUGGCAUUAUUUAAAGUGGCAAUAUUUAAAGUCCAUUUAUUAAAGUGUCCAGUGAUUGGUUCUCAAUACAGUAUAUACAUGUGAUAUGAGUAAUGUAAGAUGUGUAGACAUUAUUAAAGUGGCAUUAUUUAGAGUGUGUGUGGGUGGGUGUGCCUCUAUUACACUGCAACAGACUCCUAGAUAACCACACAUUCAUAAGAGUGAAGAACUGUAGUCAGAACCAUAGUCACCUCACCACUUGAUUCAAUGUGGGCCAUGUUGUUUCCCUCCUUAGUUUAGAAUGUGGAUCACUAAGUGUGAGAUUUGUAUAACAAAGUCAGUCUGUAUUUUUUUUCAACUUAGUAUAAGUUUGUUUUAAAACUAUGACGGUGUGGCAUUUCUAAUGAAUGAUUUAUAUUUGCUAACCAUUACAGUUGAAGUCAGAAGUUUACAUACACUUAGGUUGGAGUCAUUAAAACUAAUUUUUCAACCACUCCACAAAUUUCUUGUUAACAAGCUAUAGUUUUAACCCUAACCCUAACCCAGUGCUUUCAUUGUUACAGAGAGAGAUAUUAAAAGAGUAUUGUCUAACCUGAAUAUUCUAAGGAGACACCAAUGGCAAACACCAAUGGCAGGUACUGUAUCUAUGUGAAACUCCUGAUUUUAAUAGUUGAGAAAGUCAAACAGUGGGUCAGGAUGGGUGUCAUCGCUUUCGAUGAACCAAUCUAAACCAAUUUCGAUGAACCAAUCUGUCAUAUUGUUUAUCUCCUUAGACCACACCUAAGCUCUAAACCCUGGUCACCGUCACCUUAUAGGUGAAGCCUCUAUGGUUUUUACACGCCUCCUAUUGCUUUACAACCCCUGUGCAUAGACUAAAAUUCUCUACAUUUGAAACAAGACAACAGACACCCAGCACAUUGGAGACCGAUCAAGGACAUACAACAACUUGCAUAUCUCGUGAGGCCAUUUUCAAUCAUUCUGUGUGUCUGAGGGUUUCAACCUCAAGUUUAGAAGCCUUUUCCCUCACCUGUGUGCGUGUGCUCUGGGUGAUCAUGUCGACGGCAGUGGAACUAACUGGGUUUUUGUUGUGCGUGGCAAGCUGGCUGCUCACCGGCUCCUCACUAGCCAAUGACUACUGGAAGCUGUCCUCGGUGUCUGGCAGUGUCAUCGUAUCCACACGCCAGUUCCAGAAUCUAUUUCAUUCAUGUGCCGAGAACAGCGCCGGCAUUAGGAACUGCAAAGACUUUGAGUCUAUGCUCGCUCUGCCUGGUAGGUACUGGACUGACUACUACUCCCAAACUGGACUAAUAGAUCAUCUCCAAAACCUGUCUCCAAACAAUAACGGCAAAUUAGAUUGACAUCCCUGGUCAAAGGGAACUCUAAAGGGAAAUGUUUCCUGCUUUUCUAUGUCACUGGCCAACUCAAAGGGUUAUUGUUAUGUGAUGCGAUUUUUCUGUGUAAAGGUCAAUCAAUUACAUACAACAACCUUAAAUAGGUCAGUUUUGUUAGAUUCCUGGUGUUGCCAAAUGUUUUAAGAAUAAGAGGAACACAAUGUCUUCAUAUUUUCAAUUGAGUGUCUCUUCAGCAAACAUGAAUGAUCCAUGUAUUGGUACAGUUAUGUCUCUUAGACACAUCCUACAUCAGAGUUGAAGCCUCCAUUUGUGUGUUCUGUAGGUGACAUACAGGAAGUUGAUAUCAGGCUUUAGCAGUGUCUAACAAUUAAAAAAGGCCACCAGCAACCGCUUGAUAGCAGCAAUUGAAGUCUGUUUAUUUUCUUUAGGCAACAUGUCCCACUAGUACACCCUGCAAACAUUUCUGCUAUGCCUUCUUCAGUGCGUGUGUGUGUUGUUAGACACGCAAGAGGAUAGAGUUGAGCACAUUUCCCUCCCAAGUCUCAGUCUACUCAGGCUCUCUAUUGAUCCAAUGUCUGUUGUUGACUGGAACUCUGUCGCUUCCUGUGUUCAGGCUACAUACAGGCAUGUCGAGCCCUGAUGAUCAUCGCUCUGCUCCUGGGUCUAGCGUCCGUCAUUGUGUCAGUGCUGGGGCUGAAAUGCACAAAGAUCGGCAGCACUUCUGAACAGGCCAAGGGCAAAAUUGCUCUGACAGGCGGAAGCUUGUUCAUCUUAUCAGGUCUUUCCACCUUGACUGCUGUGUCAUGGUACGCUGCACGGGUGGUGCAGGAGUUCCAUGAUCCAUUCUUUGCAGGAGUAAGGUUUGAACUGGGUGCAGGUCUAUACAUGGGUUGGGGAGCUGCCUGUUUGGCCAUUCUAGGUGGUGUCAUGCUCUGCUGUUCCUGUAAGAGGGGUCCAUCAGGACCCACCACAGGGGGAUAUUCAUACAACUACUCCAAAACAAGCGGUGGACAACAGAUCUAUAGGGCACCACAUGUGUCAGAGUCUGGGAGUUCAAAAGCUUAUGUUUAAAGCAGUUUGAAAAAAACAAUCUAAUUUGUUUGUUUGUCUGUUUCCAUUUGUUUCUUCGCCGAAGUAUGAAUUUACUGGUUUGAAUUUGCCAUUAUAUAUUUUUGUUGCUUUGUUUUUGUUGUCUUGAGUUGAGUCACUGUGAAUAUUAAUGCAAUGUUUAUUACUUUGAAAUGUAUUGAAAAUAAAAACAUUGCUCUGUUGAUGAUUAUUGUUUUAUUGACAUUGGAUAUCCAAAUUAAUGGAAAAUAUAAGCUAUUCCACAACUCCAAAUGAAUGGAAAAGAUACCCACUGGGCACAGAUGUCUAAUCCGCAUGGGUUCAACGUAAUUUCAUUGAAAUGACGUGGAAACAACGUUGAUUCAACCAGUGGGUAAGCAUCGAAUACAGUACUUAUCUGAAUUUUAUAGUCAAUCCUGUGAUUCGGAACUGACUACAGCCAUAUGUUCAAGUAAUGUCUUGUGAUCGCUCAGCUUCCUGCAGGACAUUUAAAUAAAUACUCCACUCAAAAUAAAAACAAUUAUAUUCUGUUAUUUACUAUUUAACAUUUCAUCUGAUAUGUGUCUUAAGGUUCUAUAAUAAAAAAUUUUUGAACAUCACUGUCCACCAACUGCCAUUUAACCAGCAUGACCACUGUCUGGUUUCAGACUGUUGUUGAAAAUACCAAUAAGCAUUCCAAAAUGUUUUAUGUGUGGAGUCAGAUGGGGGACUAUGUUUCAUGACUCUAUAACAAGAGUGGACUGAGUGCUGCUAAACUCUGAAUGUGCAUGAUGGGCUUACAGAGGUAAUACCCUCUCCCUCAAUGUCAACAA